rnacentral:lncRNA from 1 species
AUGCGCCCGGAGGGUCUCAGCGGCACGUGCCCACACGGGCUGCGCACUGAAGAUGACUGCCGCGUGGGGUCCAGUGUGAGGCGGCGGAGGGGGAACUCCGCCAGCUCUCCAGCUCCUCACGCCCCGGGGCUGAGCCGGGGGUCCCUGGCUUGUUGGGCGGCGGCCGUCCGGCAGCCGUGGAGGCUCACGAGGGAGGAAACAGGGUCAAGAGAACGAUUCCAAAAACAUGGCAGACACUGUCAAACGCUCAUAGUGAACUUCUUGAAGCUGAGCCAUGGUAUAACCAUCCUUUUUAACUUAGAUGUUCCUGCUGAUUAAUCUACUUUGAAUUAACCUAUUUCCACCCUGACGUUAAAGAAUUCUUCAUAAAACACAUACUGUAAGUGGAGAAAUGAUCAUGUAGCUAGAAAGUGACAUUUUAUGCACGUGAAAGAACUAGAGGACUGGGCAACAUGAACUUGAAAUUUUCCACCCUAUCUAUCCUGCACCUCCCCCUUGCACCACACAUGAACAAUAUGGUAGAAAUAGUAGCUACCUCUUUUAUUUACAACCCAUAUCCAAAUGAUCCAAGUUGGUCAGUACUUCUACUUAUUCCAAAGAUAUUUCAGAUAUCUUCAAAUAUCUUUGGAAACUUUGCUCUACUUGUGAUGUUAUUUUCUUAAUUCUGGCUCAAAUAACUUCUCUCAUGAAUUACUUAAAUUAUCUCCUUUUGUCCCCAGUUAGUUUUUUCUUCUAAUUUGUCUUAUAUACAGUUUUCAGAGUGAUCUUUAUGAAAUUUGAAUCUUAUUACAUUACUACUCUACUUAAAAUUACUUAUUACAUUACUACUCUACUUAAAAUCCACAGUGAGUUCUCAUACUUGCAGAAUAGUAUUCAAAUUAUUUAAUAUAAAAUAUAAGGCCCUGGAGGAAGAGGCUGUUGUAAAAAUCUAUCAUCUGUUCUCUACGCACACACAUUACAAUUCUUUAAGGCAGUAUUUAACUUCUUUUCUUGAUACCUUUCUGAGUACUAUCCUGCCUACUUAAAAUACUCUUAUACUUUCUUCAUCUUCAUCUUAUUAACAUGUUUCACAUUUCUGGGGAUUCUCAAGGGUUCUGUUUAGGGCUGGAAUGGACAAGUGAGAAAAAUAAAUACACAAGUAGGACUCA